AUUGAACGCUGGCGGCAGGCCUAACACAUGCAAGUCGGGCGAGCGGCGGACGGGUGAGUAACACGUGGGAACCUACCCAUCAGAGGGGGAUAACACUUGGAAACAGGUGCUAAUACCGCAUACUGAUGGAUGGACCCGCGGUGCAUUAGCUAGUUGGUGAGGUAACGGCUCACCAAGGCCACGAUGCAUAGCCGACCUGAGAGGGUGAUCGGCCACACUGGGACUGAGACACGGCCCAGACUCCUACGGGAGGCAGCAGUGGGGAAUAUUGCACAAUGGGCGCAAGCCUGAUACAGCCAUGCCGCGUGUAUGAAGAAGGCCUUCGGGUUGUAAAGUACUUUCAGUCGGGAGGCGUUACCGACAGAAGAAGCACCGGCUAACUCCGUGCCAGCAGCCGCGGUAAUAC
rnacentral:rRNA from 1 species